rnacentral:rRNA from 1 species
AUUGAACGCUGGCGGCAUGCCUUACACAUGCAAGUCGAACGGCAGCACGGGAGCAAUCCUGGUGGCGAGUGGCGAACGGGUGAGUAAAGUAUCGGAACGUGCCCAGUCGUGGGGGAUAACGUAGCGAAAGUUACGCUAAUACCGCAUACGAUCUAUGGAUGAAAGCGGGGGAUCGCAAGACCUCGCGCGAUUGGAGCGGCCGACAUCAGAUUAGGUAGUUGGUGGGGUAAAGGCUCACCAAGCCGACGAUCUGUAGCUGGUCUGAGAGGACGACCAGCCACACUGGGACUGAGACACGGCCCAGACUCCUACGGGAGGCGGCAGUGGGGAGUUUUGGACAAUGGGCGAAAGCCUGAUCCAGCCAUGCCGCGUGCAGGAUGAAGGCCUUCGGGUUGUAAACUGCUUUUGUACGGAACGAAAAGGUUUGGCCUAAUAAGCUGAGCUCAUGACGGUACCGUAAGAAUAAGCACCGGCUAACUCCGUGCCAGCCGCCGCCGUAA